UAGCAUAUCAAUAAGCGGAGGAAAAGAAACCAACAGGGAUUGCCUCAGUAACGGCGAGUGAAGCGGCAACAGCUCAAAUUUGAAAUCUGGCCCUAGGCCCGAGUUGUAAUUUGCAGAGGAUGUUUCUGGCGAGGUGCCUUCCGAGUUCCCUGGAACGGGACGCCAUAGAGGGUGAGAGCCCCGUACGGUUGGUCGCUAAGCCUCUGUGAAACUCCUUCGACGAGUCGAGUAGUUUGGGAAUGCUGCUCUAAAUGGGAGGUAUACGUCUUCUAAAGCUAAAUACCGGCCAGAGACCGAUAGCGCACAAGUAGAGUGAUCGAAAGAUGAAAAGCACUUUGAAAAGAGGGUUAAAUAGUACGUGAAAUUGUUGAAAGGGAAGCGCUUAUGACCAGACUUGGACCGGUUGAUCAUCCAUCGUUCUCGGUGGUGCACUCUGCCGGUUCAGGCCAGCAUCAGUUUGUCCCGGGGGAUAAAGGCUUUGGGAAUGUGGCUCUUCGGAGUGUUAUAGCCCAUUGCGUAAUACCCUGGGAUAGACUGAGGUUCGCGCUCCGCAAGGAUGCUGGCGUAAUGGUCAUCAGUGACCCGUCUUGAAACACGGACCAAGGAGUCGUCUUCGUAUGCGAGUGUUCGGGUGUCAAACCCCUACGCGUAAUGAAAGUGAACGUAGGAGAGAGCUUCGGCGCAUCUCCGACCGAUCCUGAUGUUCUCGGAUGGAUUUGAGUAAGAGCAUACGGGGCCGGACCCGAAAGAAGGUGAACUAUGCUUGUAUAGGGUGAAGCCAGAGGAAACUCUGGUGGAGGCUCGCAGCGGUUCUGACGUGCAAAUCGAUCGUCAAAUAUGAGCAUGGGGGCGAAAGACUAAUCGAACCUUCUAGUAGCUGGUUUCCGCCGAA
rnacentral:rRNA from 1 species